GCAAAGUAUUAAUUUACUGCCCUUCCUCCCAACUUAAAGUGCUUUACAAUCCGAAGACCUUCUUCACACACGCGGCAUGGCUGGAUCAGGCUUUCGCCCAUUGUCCAAUAUUCCCCACUGCUGCCUCCCGUAGGAGUCUGGACCGUGUCUCAGUUCCAGUGUGACUGAUCAUCCUCUCAGACCAGUUACGGAUCGUCGCCUUGGUGAGCCAUUACCUCACCAACUAGCUAAUCCGACCUAGGCUCAUCUGAUAGCGCAAGGCCCGAAGGUCCCCUGCUUUCUCCCGUAGGACGUAUGCGGUAUUAGCGUCCCUUUCGAGACGUUGUCCCCCACUACCAGGCAGAUUCCUAGGCAUUACUCACCCGUCCGCCGCUGAAU
rnacentral:rRNA from 1 species